rnacentral:rRNA from 1 species
GAUGAACGCUGGCGGCGUGCCUAAUACAUGCAAGUCGAGCGAAUGGAUUAAGAGCUUGCUCUUAUGAAGUUAGCGGCGGACGGGUGAGUAACACGUGGGUAACCUGCCCAUAAGACUGGGAUAACUCCGGGAAACCGGGGCCAAUACCGGAUAACAUUUUGAACCGCAUGGUUCGAAAUUGAAAGGCGGCUUCGGCUGUCACUUAUGGAUGGACCCGCGUCGCAUUAGCUAGUUGGUGAGGUAACGGCUCACCAAGGCAACGAUGCGUAGCCGACCUUAGAGGGGGAUCGGCCACACUGGGACUGAGACGCGGCCCAGACUCCUACGGGAGGCAGCAGUAGGGAAUCUUCCGCAAUGGACGAAAGUCUGACGGAGCAACGCCGCGUGAGUGAUGAAGGCUUUCGGGUCGUAAAACUCUGUUGUUAGGGAAGAACAAGUGCUAGUUGAAUAAGCUGGCACCUUGACGGUACCUAACCAGAAAGCCACGGCUAACUACGUGCCAGCCGCCGCCGUAA